GUACUCGCUUCAACAGCACAUAUACUAAAAUUGGAACAAUACAGAAAAGAUUAGCAUGGCCCCUGCACAAGGAUAACACGCAAAUUCAUGAAGCCUUCCAUAUUAAA
ensembl:snRNA U6 U6 spliceosomal RNA